GUAAGUAUAAUUUAACUAAAAUAUUAGAUUGUGAAUCUAAAAAUAGAAGCUCAACCCUUCUUACUCACC
rnacentral:tRNA from 1 species